rnacentral:rRNA from 1 species
AUUGAACGCUGGCGGCGUGCCUAAUACAUGCAAGUAGGACGCAGUUGCGAACGGGUGAGUAACGCGUAGGUAACUGCCUAUUAGAGGGGGAUAACUAUUGGAAACGAUAGCUACUACCGCAUACUAGUAGAUGGACCUGCGUUGUAUUAGAUAGUAGGUUGGGUAAUGGCCUACCUAGGCGACGAUACAUAGCCGCCGUGAGGGGGUGAGCAGCCACACUGGGACUGAGACACGGGCCAGACGCCUACGGGAGGCAGCAGUAGGGAAUCUUCGGCAAUGGGGGGCACCCUGACCGAGCAACGACGCGUGAGUGAAGAAGGUUUUCGGAUCGUAAAGCUCUGUUGUUAAGGAAGCGGUACUUAACCAGAAAGGGACGGCUAACUACGUGCCAGCCGCCGCGGUAAUAC